rnacentral:rRNA from 1 species
AGAGUUUGAUCAUGGCUCAGGACGAACGCUGGCGGCGUGCUUAACACAUGCAAGUCGAACGAGGCCCCGCCUUCGGGUGGGUGUUCUAGUGGCGAACGGGUGAGUAACACGUGGGCAACCUGCCCCCGGCUCUGGGAUAACUCCAAGAAAUUGGGGCUAAUACCGGAUAUGACCGCUGACCGCAUGGUCUGGUGGUGGAAAGUUUUUCGGCUGGGGAUGGGCCCGCGGCCUAUCAGCUUGUUGGUGGGGUAGUGGCCUACCAAGGCGACGACGGGUAGCCGGCCUGAGAGGGUGACCGGCCACACUGGGACUGAGACACGGCCCAGACUCCUACGGGAGGCAGCAGUGGGGAAUAUUGCGCAAUGGGCGGAAGCCUGACGCAGCGACGCCGCGUGGGGGAUGACGGCCUUCGGGUUGUAAACCUCUUUCAGCAGGGACGAAGCGAAAGUGACGGUACCUGCAGAAGAAGCACCGGCCAACUACGUGCCAGCAGCCGCGGUA